rnacentral:rRNA from 1 species
UACAUGGGGUGCAAACGUUGCUCGGAAUUAUUGGGCGUAAAGCGCACGUAGGCGGUUUGUUAAGUCGGAUGUGAAAUCCCUCGGCUCAACUGAGGAAGUGCAUCCGGAACUGGCAAGCUUGAGUACGAAAGAGGGUCGCGGAAUUCCCGGUGUAGAGGUGAAAUUCGUAGAUAUCGGGAGGAACACCGGUGGCGAAGGCGGCGACCUGGGUCGAUACUGACGCUGAGGUGCGAAAGCGUGGGGAGCAAACAGG